CACGUAGGGUGCGAGCGUUGUCCGGAAUUAUUGGGCGUAAAGAGCUCGUAGGCGGUGUGUCGCGUCGGCCGUGAAAACCUGCAGCUUAACUGUGGGCUUGCGGUCGAUACGGACAUCACUGGAGUUCGGCAGGGGAGACUGGAAUUCCUGGUGUAGCGGUGAAAUGCGCAGAUAUCAGGAGGAACACCGGUGGCGAAGGCGGGUCUCUGGGCCGAUACUGACGCUGAGGAGCGAAAGCGUGGGGAGCGAACAGG
rnacentral:rRNA from 1 species